GCAGAUGGCAAGAACGAAAAAAAAAAAGAUGCUGCAACUGAUGAUUUCAGGGAAUGAGAAGAGAAGUGAACAUACAUGGUUUUGGAGCGGAGAAGGCGAUGGAGAUGCUGUGUUCUCUGCUUCACCGUGUCCUCUGCUUCCGUUCGGUUUGCUUCUGUUUCUCCUUCCUCUUCCUUUUGUUCUCUCUUUCUGCUCUGUCCCCCUCUACUCUGCUUGUUUUUCUGCUGUCUUUUCCCUCUAUGUUUCUGUUUUCUCCCUCUCAGUCUCUUCCUCUCUCCUUUUGUUCUCUUUCCCCCCCCGGCUACUCUCUGUUUUCUCUUUUUUUUUUUCACGUUCUCUCCUCCUCUGUUCUCCCCGUGUUCUUUCUGCCCCUGCUCUCCCUUACUCUUCUUCUUUCUCCUCUCUCGAUCUCCUCACUGUCUCAUUAUUAUUUUUUUCUCUCCUUCUCUCCCUCUGUUUCCUGUCUAUUUCGUUCUCCCUCCCUCCUUGUUCUUUCGGUGCAGAACAUCCUCUGGCUUUUAUAGCCAGAGGAUGCAACCGUUUUCCUUUGCAGGGACGGAAUAACGGCCGGAGAGAUAUCAGCCGUGGAACAUGGCCCCUUGAUCACCGCCUUCGCUGCUGCAGCCGUUUCUCCGCCAGCUGCACCGAAACGUAACAGUGUUGAGCGAAACGGCGCCGUUUUUGCAAUUUUAAAUAAUAUUUCCGAUUUGAUCCUUGGAUGUUUAUGUAAUUUUGUAAUCAAGCCCCCUGAAACAAUUGUAAUUAGACCCCUUUAUUUUAGCGUCUUUUCCGAUUUA